UCACAGGCUAGUUCCAGGGGGAAGGAGAGGCGGACGGUGGCUCCAGAUGGUGUCUGGGCUGGGGAAGGUGCUCUGACCUCUCUGAGUUCAAGGCUGAGACAGGACAAACAUGCCGGUCUUUAAAGGGUGGAAAGGCUGUCCUCAAAAUGAUAAUGAUGACAGCAGGGCUCGUUGAGUGCCUUCUACAUGUGGGGCGACUACUCUAAACACUCACUUUCCGCAUAGCUGAUCCUUAGAACUCUAUUACAUUUCCUAUUCUACAGCAGGACUGUCAUUGAACAGCCCAUAAUAGAACAACCACUAAGAGGAAGACAGCAGAUUCCACCGGGAAAGGUCCAUUCUGCUCAAGUGUGGUCUUCAGAGUGUUGCUCCACGUUCUCAGUGGGACUCCUGUUCUCUCCCCAUUUUCAUCAUGAGAAAAUGAUGCCUAAGAGUUGAUGGAAAUUCCUCUGAUGUUGGCCGGAAGUCUCUCAGGCUCAUUUGCCUCUUGUGUUAUCUAGUCUGCAGGGCCUAGUUGGGGACUGGAGGAACCACGGUUUUGCAACGGAGAAGGGGAGUGUGCAGCUGCAGGGGCUUCUAGGGAAAAGAUGGGAAGAGACCAAGGGGAUCCUUGAAGUUGCCCCUUCUCCAUCUGUUGCCACUAAAUGCCACCCCUUUGCUACCCCAUUGACACAUCUUGCCCCAGUGCUGUCUUCCCCUGUCUCCUCCACCCUUGCCCACUAUGCUCAGCUGGACUUGGGGCCCCUGUCGUGUGUAAUCAUGGAAAGAGAAGAGCUAGCUUCAGUUAGACACCAAAGAUCCCAGGUGCAGCCUGGCUGUCCCAGGCUGACCACGGAUAGCCACGCAAGUCAGGCUCAUCAGUCUCACGGCUGCUUCCCCUCUGCCUCCCAGAGCCCAGGAAAGCAGGACACAACUCCACACAGUGCAGCCUCGGGGGCUGGGCUUCCAGUCCAGAUGCAGCUGAUUCUGGAUUCUUCUUUACUCUUACUUUCCUGGAUCCGCUGGAUCUUAUUUUUUGCAAAUAACCCGGAUGGCUUUUCCCACAUUCUUUAGCUCAACAAACCACAUCAUGGCCUCCCAGGACACGGACGUCACAGGGCGGGAGUCAUUGUUGGUUUCUCCCCAUCCUCUUUCCCCUCUGUAUUAUUGGCAGGAUUGUUCCUUCCUGAGGCUCCUUGCCUCCUCCCAGCUUCCAGUGACGGCUGACAUUCCCCACCAGUCCUUGGCUUGUAGACACAUCCCCCUCACCUUGGCCUUGAUCUUCAUGUGUCUGUGUCUCUGUUUUCUCUUCUUAUAAGGACAGGGGUCACUGGUCAAUAGUCCCAGGCCAUAUGAGUGCAGCUUGAAUUAGCUGAUUACAUCUGUAAAGACCCUAUUUCCAAAUAAAUUCACAUCCUGAGGUUCCUGGUGGACACUCAGUUUUGGGGGACACUACUCAAGCUUCCCCUCUAUCCAUGCCAGUUCCAGCUCCAUCUAAGCUGUCGCCAGUUCACGUCACUUCUGCUUCCUUAGUAUCUCUCCAAGUGGCCCAUUUCUCCCAGUGAAUCUGCUUAGUCAGCCCCUCAUUUACAUUCCACUGAUGACUUCUCAUUGCCUUCAAAAUCACACCCACACUGUUCAGCAGUGCUUUCAAGGCUCUCGGAGAUUCCACCACUGUUUAUCUCUCCAAGCUCAUCUCUCCUAGGACGCACGGCUGUAUUGAUUCGCAUACAGGUGUGGAGUCUUUUGUGUGUCUGUCUGUUUGUUUAAUGACGGCCUCUCUCCCUGCAUGUAAGCAGCUCAGAGAACAGGGAGAGUGGCUCUCUUGUGUGCUUUUCUAUCCCAUGCCUGACAUGCACGGUGAAUAAACUCCACGCUCCCUCUGGUCCCAGUACAGUGCUGGGC
ensembl:lncRNA